rnacentral:rRNA from 1 species
CAAGCUUGCUUGGUGGAUCAGUGGCGAACGGGUGAGUAACACGUGAGCAACCUGCCCUGAACUCUGGGAUAAGCGCUGGAAACGGCGUCUAAUACUGGAUAUGAGCUGCGGAGGCAUCUUCGUGGUUGGAAAGAUUUUUCGGUUUGGGAUGGGCUCGCGGCCUAUCAGCUUGUUGGUGAGGUAAUGGCUCACCAAGGCGUCGACGGGUAGCCGGCCUGAGAGGGUGACCGGCCACACUGGGACUGAGACACGGCCCAGACUCCUACGGGAGGCAGCAGUGGGGAAUAUUGCACAAUGGGCGGAAGCCUGAUGCAGCAACGCCGCGUGAGGGAUGACGGCCUUCGGGUUGUAAACCUCUUUUAGCAGGGAAGAAGCGAAAGUGACGGUACCUGCAGAAAAAGCGCCGGCUAACUACGUGCCAGCAGCCGCGGUAAUACGUAGGGCGCAAGCGUUAUCCGGAAUUAUUGGGCGUAAAGAGCUCGUAGGCGGUUUGUCGCGUCUGCUGUGAAAUCUGGGGGCUCAACCCCCAGCCUGCAGUGGGUACGGGCAGACUAGAGUGCGGUAGGGGAGAUUGGAAUUCCUGGUGUAGCGGUGGAAUGCGCAGAUAUCAGGAGGAACACCGAUGGCGAAGGCAGAUCUCUGGGCCGUAACUGACGCUGAGGAGCGAAAGGGUGGGGAGCAAACAGGCUUAGAUACCCUGGUAGUCCACCCCGUAAACGUUGGGAACUAGUUGUGGGGUC